AUAAUGAUACACUUGCAUAGCCACAGCUCGAGCGUGAUAAAACCGUCGCAAGCAAUGGGUGCAACUCGGACAGAGUCGGAGUGGUGAAAUUCCAGUGG
rfam:Clostridium sp. CAG:343 genomic scaffold, scf52